AGCAGUCGCCGCGGUAAUACGUAGGGUGCGAGCGUUAAUCGGAAUUACUGGGCGUAAAGCGUGCGCAGGCGGUUUUGUAAGACAGGCGUGAAAUCCCCGGGCUCAACCUGGGAAUGGCGCUUGUGACUGCAAAGCUAGAGUGCGGCAGAGGGGGAUGGAAUUCCGCGUGUAGCAGUGAAAUGCGUAGAUAUGCGGAGGAACACCGAUGGCGAAGGCAAUCCCCUGGGCCUGCACUGACGCUCAUGCACGAAAGCGUGGGGAGCAAACAGGAUUAGAUACCCGAGUAGUCCCUGUCUCUUAUAC
rnacentral:rRNA from 1 species